ACAACCGGGUAUUUCGGGCCGAACUGGGUUCGAGCUCGAAAUACAAUUGAAUUGAAUUAAUUGGCAUUUUAAUUGAUAUUUGAUAAUCUGAAAUUUAAUUGGGUUUGAAAUUGUGUGUUAAUGCCAUUUUUGCCCUUGUAUGUUUAAAGUGGAAGUUAUAUGGCCCUAAGGGCAUUUUAGUAAUUUGGCUUGAUGAGAUAAGUGUGUGAAAUGGCAUUUUUGACAAAAAAAGAAAAUAGAAAUUCUGGUUAUUCUCUCUCAAACCUGAACCUCUCUUUCUCUCUCUUACUCUCUUGUUUUUCAACUUGAUUUGGUGAGAAAUUGAUGAGAAACUAGUUUGAUUGUUGGGGAAAAUUUUGUGUUAAGGCUUGGAGUUAGCUUGUGCAAGGAAUUGAGGAUUACCGGCACCUGAUCAGGAGCACCCAGGGGUUUGGAAUCUCUGUUAUUGCAGGACAACAGGAAAGGGUAAGGCAUUAGCUGAUGAGCCAUGAGUUCUGGAGCUGGGCGAAGAAUGUACAUGUCCGGGCCAUUUCAGACCAAGCGGGUUAUGGGUCUAUCAGUGUUGAACUUUUGAAUUCUGUUUUGCCGCUUAGGUCGGCUAGAAAGAAAAGACUUGUAAUAAGUUUGUAAUUAUUUUUGGGAUCCCAACUAUUUUGAAAGUUUAAAUAUAUUACAAGUUUAUUUUCA